rnacentral:rRNA from 1 species
UGGGGAAUAUUGGACAAUGGGCGCAAGCCUGAUCCAGCCAUGCCGCGUGAGUGAUGAAGGCCUUAGGGUUGUAAAGCUCUUUCGCCGGUGAAGAUAAUGACGGUAACCGGAGAAGAAGCCCCGGCUAACUUCGUGCCAGCAGCCGCGGUAAUACGAAGGGGGCUAGCGUUGCUCGGAAUUACUGGGCGUAAAGCGCACGUAGGCGGUUUCUUAAGUCGGGGGUGAAAUCCUGGAGCUCAACUCCAGAACUGCCUUCGAUACUGGGAAACUUGAGUUCGGGAGAGNUGAGUGGAACGGCGAGUGUAGAGGUGAAAUUCGUAGAUAUUCGCAAGAACACCAGUGGCGAAGGCGGCUCACUGGCCCGAUACUGACGCUGAGGUGCGAAAGCGUGGGGAGCAAACA